rnacentral:rRNA from 1 species
AGCUACAGGCUUAACACAUGCAAGUCGAGGGGCAGCAUUUUAGUUUGCUUGCAAACUGAAGAUGGCGACCGGCGCACGGGUGAGUAACACGUAUCCAACCUGCCGAUAACUCCGGGAUAGCCUUUCGAAAGAAAGAUUAAUACCGGAUAGUAUACGAAUAUCGCAUGAUAUUUUUAUUAAAGAAUUUCGGUUAUCGAUGGGGAUGCGUUCCAUUAGUUUGUUGGCGGGGUAACGGCCCACCAAGACUACGAUGGAUAGGGGUUCUGAGAGGAAGGUCCCCCACAUUGGAACUGAGACACGGUCCAAACUCCUACGGGAGGCAGCAGUGAGGAAUAUUGGUCAAUGGGCGCGAGCCUGAACCAGCCAAGUAGCGUGAAGGAUGAAGGCUCUAUGGGUCGUAAACUUCUUUUAUAUGGGAAUAAAGUUUUCCACGUGUGGAAUUUUGUAUGUACCAUAUGAAUAAGGAUCGGCUAACUCCGUGCCAGCAGCCGCGGUAAUACGGAGGAUCCGAGCGUUAUCCGGAUUUAUUGGGUUUAAAGGGAGCGUAGGUGGAUUGUUAAGUCAGUUGUGAAAGUUUGCGGCUCAACCGUAAAAUUGCAGUUGAAACUGGCAGUCUUGAGUACAGUAGAGGUGGGCGGAAUUCGUGGUGUAGCGGUGAAAUGCUUAGAUAUCACGAAGAACUCCGAUUGCGAAGGCAGCUCACUAGACUGUCACUGACACUGAUGCUCGAAAGUGUGGGUAUCAAACAGGAUUAGAUACCCUGGUAGUCCACACAGUAAACGAUGAAUACUCGCUGUUUGCGAUAUACAGUAAGCGGCCAAGCGAAAGCAUUAAGUAUUCCACCUGGGGAGUACGCCGGCAACGGUGAAACUCAAAGGAAUUGACGGGGGCCCGCACAAGCGGAGGAACAUGUGGUUUAAUUCGAUGAUACGCGAGGAACCUUACCCGGGCUUAAAUUGCAACAGAAUAUAUUGGAAACAGUAUAGCCGUAAGGCUGUUGUGAAGGUGCUGCAUGGUUGUCGUCAGCUCGUGCCGCGAGGUGUCGGCUUAAGUGCCAUAACGAGCGCAACCCUUAUCUUUAGUUACUAACAGGUGAUGCUGAGGACUCUAGAGAGACUGCCGUCGUAAGAUGUGAGGAAGGUGGGGAUGACGUCAAAUCAGCACGGCCCUUACGUCCGGGGCUACACACGUGUUACAAUGGGGGGUACAGAAGGCGGCUACCUGGUGACAGGAUGCUAAUCCCAAAAACCUCUCUCAGUUCGGAUCGAAGUCUGCAACCCGACUUCGUGAAGCUGGAUUCGCUAGUAAUCGCGCAUCAGCCAUGGCGCGGUGAAUACGUUCCCGGGCCUUGUACACACCGCCCGUCAAGCCAUGAAAGCCGGGGGUACCUGAAGUACGUAACCGCAAGGAGCGUCCUAGGGUAAAACUGGUAAUUGGGGCUAAGUCAUAACA